UACGUAGGGUGCGAGCGUUAAUCGGAAUUACUGGGCGUAAAGCGUGCGCAGGCGGUUCGUUGUGUCCGUCGUGAAAGCCCCGGGCUUAACCUGGGAAUGGCAUUUGGGACUGCAAGGCUUGAGUGCGGCAGAGGAGACUGGAAUUCCUGGUGUAGCAGUGAAAUGCGUAGAUAUCAGGAGGAACACCGAUGGCGAAGGCAGGUCUCUGGGCUGACACUGACGCUCAUGCACGAAAGCGUGGGGAGCAAACAGG
rnacentral:rRNA from 1 species